rnacentral:rRNA from 1 species
GACGAACGCUGGCGGCGUGCUUAACACAUGCAAGUCGAACGGAAAGGCCCUGCUUUUGUGGGGUGCUCGAGUGGCGAACGGGUGAGUAACACGUGAGUAACCUGCCCUUGACUUUGGGAUAACUUCAGGAAACUGGGGCUAAUACCGGAUAGGAGCUCCUGCUGCAUGGUGGGGGUGGGAAAGUUUCGGCGGUUGGGGAUGGACUCGCGGCUUAUCAGCUUGGUGGUGGGGUAGUGGAUUACCAAGGCUUUGACGGGUAGCCGGGCUGAGAGGGUGACCGGCCACAUUGGGUCUGAGAUACGGCACAGACUCCUGCGGGAGGCAGCAGUGGGGAAUAUUGCACAAUGGGCGGAAGCCUGAUGCAGCAACGCCGCGUGCGGGAUGACGGCCUUCGGGUUGUAAACCGCUUUCGCCUGUGACGAAGCGUGAGUGACGGUAAUGGGUAAAGAAGCACCGGCUAACUACGUG